rnacentral:rRNA from 1 species
GACGAACGCUGGCGGCGUGCCUAACACAUGCAAGUCGAGCGAGUGAAUCUCCUUCGGGAGUGAAGCUAGCGGCGGACGGGUGAGUAACACGUGGGCAACCUGCCUCAUAGAGGGGAAUAGCCUUCCGAAAGGGAGAUUAAUACCGCAUAAGAUCGUAGCUUCGCAUGAAGUAGCAAUUAAAGGAGCAAUCCGCUAUGAGAUGGGCCCGCGGCGCAUUAGCUAGUUGGUGAGGUAAUGGCUCACCAAGGCGACGAUGCGUAGCCGAACUGAGAGGGUGAUCGGCCGCAUUGGGACUGAGACACGGCCCAGACUCAUACGGGAGGCAGCAGUGGGGAAUAUUGCACAAUGGGGGAAACCCUGAUGCAGCAACGCCGCGUGAGUGAUGACGGCCUUCGGGUUGUAAAGCUCUGUCUUCAGGGACGAUAAUGACGGUACCUGAGGAGGAAGCCACGGCUAACUACGUGCCAGCCGCCGCCGUAAGAC